rnacentral:rRNA from 1 species
CCUACGGGAGGCAGCAGUGAGGAAUAUUGGUCAAUGGACGCAAGUCUGAACCAGCCAUGCCGCGUGCAGGAAGACGGCUCUAUGAGUUGUAAACUGCUUUUAUAUGGGAAUAAAAUGUUCCACGUGUGGGAUUUUGUAUGUACCAUAUGAAUAAGGAUCGGCUAACUCCGUGCCAGCAGCCGCGGUAAUACGGAGGAUCCGAGCGUUAUCCGGAUUUAUUGGGUUUAAAGGGAGCGUAGGUGGAUUGUUAAGUCAGUUGUGAAAGUUUGCGGCUCAACCGUAAAAUUGCAGUUGAAACUGGCAGUCUUGAGUACAGUAGAGGUGGGCGGAAUUCGUGGUGUAGCGGUGAAAUGCUUAGAUAUCACGAAGAACUCCGAUUGCGAAGGCAGUUCACUGGACUGCAACUGACACUGAGGCUCGAAAGUGUGGGUAUCAAACAGGAUUAGAUACCCUGGUAGUC